rnacentral:rRNA from 1 species
UCCAGACUCCUACGGGAGGCAGCAGUGAGGAAUAUUGGUCAAUGGGCGAGAGCCUGAACCAGCCAAGUCGCGUGAGGGAGUACUGCCCUAUGGGUUGUAAACCUCUUUUGUCGGGGAGCAAAAGCCGGACGUGUCCGGCUGUGAGAGUACCCGAAGAAAAAGCAUCGGCUAACUCCGUGCCAGCAGCCGCGGUAAUACGGAGGAUGCGAGCGUUAUCCGGAUUUAUUGGGUUUAAAGGGUGCGCAGGCGGAUUUUUAAGUCAGCGGUCAAAUCGUGGGGCUCAACCCCAUCCAGCCGUUGAAACUGGCUGUCUUGAGAUGUCGAGAGGUAUGCGGAAUGCGCAGUGUAGCGGUGAAAUACUUAGAUAUUGCGCAGAACUCCGAUUGCGAAGGCAGCAUACCGGCGGCGAUCUGACGCUGAGGCACGAAAGCGUGGGUAUCGAACAGGAUUAGAUACCCUAGUAGG